GGUCAUGCCAAAAUCUAUUCUUUCUGCCUUCCUUCACACGCAGCCUUCUUCCUCUCCUCUCCCCCAGAAACGCCGCCGCCGCCUGCGACUCAGCCUGCCCUACUCUGCCCGCCGUCUUCGGUCUGCUUUGCCGUGGCGACCGUGUGCCGAUCUGGCCGCCCCGCGGCCGGGCACAAUCUGGAUGACCAGCGGGCGGUGGUGCACGGUCUGGGCGGCGGCGACCUGCGCGGCCCUGGUGCUGCACCGGCGCCUCCUUCCUCAGUCGCCCAGGUCCAAGGAGGCUCUCUCCUAGCCAACCUCCAGCCAUGCGUCCUCCCCUCCUCCUUGACAGACUCUCUCCUACUCUAGAGAACUAGCACGGGGCUCGUUGCUGUGCCUGAGUCGCCACAAGGACCUCGGGUGGAGGGGAUCUGGAAGUUGCUGCAUGUAGAAACGGCGAAACAUGGCAUCUAUGUGGCAUCAUCUAUCCCUUCUGCGGCUGAUGGCCGUGUCUCCCAUAAACUAUGCCCAAGUUGAUGUGGUGAACUAGCUGAAGGAAGAGCUAUGGUGGACAGAACCAAUACUUGCAGUGGAUGUGCGGAAAUAGCUAUAGGAGGAGCUAUGGGUGACAGAUCCAAGACAUGAGAUUCUAGCCAUCUUCUUGCGAAGAGUACUUUGUAGUGUCAGUGAUUUACAAGGGCGAUGCUUUGGUGCUAUUGUUCAUCGUUUCCAUGUCUCCAAAGAGGUGCCUUCAUUUUCUCUUUAUAUCGGCUACAUGUUUGUAUGUACAUUUGCACUUAUCUUUGUUUUAUACAUUUUCUUAGUGCACAACUAGCUCGAUCAGGCUCGUAUAACUGAGAAACCGUGCUUCAGGGAGAUCCAAACUCAUUUUAGAGGUUACAACACGAUAAUGGCAUUCAUAGUUUCCACCUUGAAGCAGUUACAAUUUACUAUUUUCUGUCUGUUCAAGUCUUUUUUUUUUUGGAUUCCUAUGCAUUAAAAAAAUAGUGAAUCUUUUGCUGCAUUUAUUAGGGCUUAAGGGCUGAAAUUAUUCAUCUUUGUUACUACAUCUGAGCAUACAUAUAUGUGAACAGUAUCAUAAGCUUUUAGGGAUGAAAUAAACCCAGUAUGAUCUAAGUUUCUCUCCUUGCAUUAAUUUUCUUUAUCUGAAUUUACAACAACAUUUUGGCGGCGGAGAUGGUCGAUGGGGAGAUGGCCCCGCCUCUGAUGCAGCUGGAGACGCUGCUAGCACUCAACAUGGACCAGCGCAUGGCGGAGAACCAAGCUAUAGAGGACGGAGGCUUCUUCUUGUGUCCGUGCGAAAGUGAAGCUGUACCGAUUGGCAGUGGAAGGAGCGGGGAACGGGUACAUGAAGCUUGGAUGUAAUCUGAUUUAAACUAUUUUUAAGGGAAUGCAUUACAUCACGCAGCAAGUUCAGACCAAGAAAACUGGCAUUCUGAUUCUCUCAAAUCUAAUGGCAAAAGUUCAUUGUUUACUGAAGAGGCAGAUGCGCUAACGGUGACGAUCAGUACAAAGGACAACUCAGCCGUGAACAUUAAAAGAGCAAACAAGAUUCUCGUUUUGGAGUCUGAGCCGAUUCGCAUUCGGGAUUUCUCUGGGCGAACAACCUCCAUAUUUAUAUCAUCGUCAGUGUGGACCAUGUUUUACAGCAGCAGCCCAUAGUUUCUUGUCAUUUUCGUAGUUCUGAGAAACUUCUCUUCGUUGGUCUGUUCGUUUGUCAAGAACUUGUUGUGCAAGUUAUUGUGUUAUAUGUUAGAGCAAUGAUACAUAUAUAUAAAAAACUAGGACAGGGCGAUGCUUAAUGCAUUAGUUUGUACUUACCAAAAUUAUCACUUUGCAAAGCUUUUGGUGAAGCUGCAUCCUAAGCCUGACAAGUUCCUGAUUGGUAGAUUCUACUAAAGACCACGGCCUUCAUGGUGCAUUGGCUGGUUAGCUCCUCAAUUUGUUUCUCGUACUUUGGGAUCAGUUUAGCUGUCCUUUCCUGCAAUUUUUGUACAUUGAUCAUAUAUCAGGAUUACAUGAGAUAUGUUGGAAAAA